rnacentral:lncRNA from 1 species
ACCUCACUCCGGGGAUUGUUUACGAGGUAGUCUUUAAGGUGAAGCUAGAGGAUCCGGCCUAUGGAUGGGACACGCCGGUGAACCUAAAGCUAGUCUUGCCUAACGGUAAGGAGAAACCACAAGAGAAAAAGGUGAGUUUGAGGGAACUUCCAAGGUAUAAAUGGGUCGAUGUCAGAGUUGGCGAGUUCGUACCUGAGAAAUCCGCUGCCGGAGAGAUCACUUUCUCAAUGUAUGAGCAUGCGGCUGGUGUUUGGAAGAAAGGGCUCUCCCUCAAAGGUGUUGCAAUUCGUCC